rnacentral:tRNA from 1 species
GGUCAGAUGGCCGAGCGGUCUAAGGCGCCAGCUUCAGGAGACAUUGUCUCAGAGUUUGCUGGUCCUCUUCGGGGGGCGUGGGUUCAAAUCCCACUCUGGCCA